rnacentral:rRNA from 1 species
GUGUAUUAGAUACCCUGGUAGUCCACGCCGUAAACGAUGGGCACUAGGUGUGGGAGGUGUCGACUCCUCCCGUGCCGGCGCUAACGCAUUAAGUGCCCCGCCUGGGGAGUACGGCCGCAAGGCUAAAACUCAAAGGAAUUGACGGGGGCCCGCACAAGCAGCGGAGCAUGUGGUUUAAUUCGAUGCAACGCGAAGAACCUUACCUGGGCUUGACAUGUAACUGACAGCCGUGGAAACACGGUCUUCCUUCGGGACAGUUACACAGGUGGUGCACGGCCGUCGUCAACU